UACGUAGGGACCAAGCGUUGUUCGGAUUUACUGGGCGUAAAGGGCGCGUAGGCGGCAUGACAAGUCACUUGUGAAAUCUCCGGGCUUAACUCGGAACGGCCAAGUGAUACUGUUGAGCUAGAGUGCGGAAGGGGCAAUCGGAAUUCUUGGUGUAGCGGUGAAAUGCGUAGAUAUCAAGAGGAACACCUGAGGUGAAGACGGGUUGCUGGGCCGACACUGACGCUGAUGCGCGAAAGCCAGGGGAGCAAACAGG
rnacentral:rRNA from 1 species